rnacentral:rRNA from 1 species
AUUCCAGCUCCAAUAGCGUAUAUUAAAGUUGUUGCGGUUAAAAAGUUCGUAGUUGGAUUUCUGUGAAGGAUAACCGGUCCGCACUAUGUGCGUGUAUCUGUUUGUCCUUUGCAUCCUCGCGGAAUACGUCACUGUGCUUCACUGCAUGGGGCGGGCUUCGCGACUUUUACUUUGAGGAAAUUAGAGUGUUCACGGCAGGCUCACGCCAUGAAUAUAUUAGCAUGGAAUAAUAAUAUAGGACCUUGGUUCUAUUUUGUUGGUUUCUAGGGCUAAGGUAAUGAUUAAUAGGGACAAUUGGGGGCAUUCGUAUUAACGCGUCAGAGGUGGAAUUCUUGGAUUGCGUUACGACGAACUACUGCGAAAGCAUUUGCCAAGGAUGUUUUCAUUA